GAUGAACGCUGGCGGCGUGCCUAAUACAUGCAAGUAGAACGCUGAAGGAGGAGCUUGCUCUUCUGGAUGAGUUGCGAACGGGUGAGUAACGCGUAGGUAACCUGCCUGGUAGCGGGGGAUAACUAUUGGAAACGAUAGCUAAUACCGCAUGACAACAGUUAUUGCAUGAUAACUGUUUAAAAGGGGCAACUGCUCCACUACCAGAUGGACCUGCGUUGUAUUAGCUAGUUGGUGAGGUAACGGCUCACCAAGGCGACGAUACAUAGCCGACCUGAGAGGGUGAUCGGCCACACUGGGACUGAGACAAGGCCCAGACUCCUACGGGAGGCAGCAGGAGGGAAUCUUCGGCAAUGGACGGAAGGCUGACCGAGCAACGCCGCGUGAGGUAAGAAGGUUUUCGGAUCGUAAAGCUCUGUUGUAAGAGAAGAACGAGUGUGAGAGUGGAAAGUUCACACUGUGACGGUAUCUUACCAGAAAGGGACGGCUAACUACGUG
rnacentral:rRNA from 1 species